UCAGCUUGCUUUUCAUGCAGCUCAGAAUGAAGAUACCUGAAUCUAGACCUCAUCAUCAUGUAGCUCCAUUUGUAAAAAAGAGAAAAAAUAUUUGCUUCCUAUCUCAACCCUCCUAAGCCAAAUAACGUCCUGCUGUACCAAAAGGUGACAAUCUCGCUGAAGUCCCCUGCAGGAUCAUGGCAACCAACGGGGGCUAAAUGCUUGACUACGAUGAACAAAUGCUAUUAACACUGGCAUCACUAUUAUGACACUUCUUGCUGUUAAAAAAUCAAGGCCAUUCACCAAUGAAUGAAAAAACCACAGCCUAGUGCAAUUGAAAGAGACACAAUCAGCGAGGACGAGUACACAUACCAACAUGGCUUUCAUUUUGGUGAAAAUUCCGGAAGAGUGGAUGCAGAAGAGCAAAUAUGAUAAGAAUGUGCAAAGUUGAAAGCGAAGAGAAAAGAGACCUUUAAAAUGUUGUGCUAUGAAACAUGAGACAGGGUCCUCGAAUAGGAGUUAUCAUGCUUUUGAGCGGGCACGUUGGGAAGCAUCAGCCUUGAGAUUCCUUUCUGUGGUGUCCUGCAGCUCGCAGCAGCUUGGAAUGCAGAUAAAUGCAAACUUCAUCAAGAAAUCACUGACAUUUGAAGAGCACCUUUAAAAAAUCGAACCCAAACAUGCUUGGCAGUAUAUACGGAGGAAUCAUUUUGCUUUAAUCUGAUCCGUUAUUUAGAGAAAUCAGAAGGGAAGUCAGAUCGUAAAGCCCCUAUCAUUUCUAGGGGCAGCACGAAAAGCUCAAGACAGCAAGCAUGCAGAGAUACGAGGGGGUGCUGGCUCCCAGUGGCGCACAGACAGGGCUAACUACCUGACGGAUGUGCUCCUUCUGUUCGCUCAUCCCUGGAAACAGCUGAACCUGACAGGGCCCAAAGCUGCUAUAAGGAUAUCUUUUGAACCAGAAAGACCCACUGACCUGACACUAGGCCUGAACUUUGACCACAGCGCUUGAAAGCAAGAGUUUCCCUGGGAAAGCCAGGAUCUACAAUUGCCGCAGCCCACCUUCCAAACUGGGGCAAUACCAUGGUUGUGGCAAGGGAGCAAGUAAGGUGACACACAAGCUUUUUUUUCUUUUUUAAAGUGUGUUCUGUAUGGAAUGGAAGCAAUUAUUUUAUGCUGUUUAACAGACAGGAGAGGCAAUCUGGCAAAAAUCUUCUGAUUCUAAAAAUACACUGAUAGCAAAUGGGACAAGUAAAUGGAAGAUCUCUGUAUUACUGUCUAAUUUUUCUAUAAAUUUGAAGUUACACCAAAAUAAAGUCACAGGAAUUAU